ensembl:lncRNA
CACAGCUGUACCAGAACAGAUGUUCACAUCACAGUGCUCAGGGAACUUAGCAGGAGUGACAAGACCAUCGCAGGACGAGUGUGUGUUCAGUAGUGUUAUCACAGGGCGUGUGUGUGUUCAGUAGUGUAAUCACAGUACGUGUGUGUGUGUUCAUGUAAUCACAGGGCGUGUGUGUUCAGUAGUGUAAUCACAGGGCGUGUGUGUGUUCAGUAGUGUAAUCGCAGGGCGUGUGUGUGUUCAGUAGUGUAAUCACAGGGCGUGUGUGUUUCAUAGUGUAAUCACAGGGCGUGUGUGUUCAGUAGUGUAAUCACAGGGCGUGUGUGUGUUCAGUAGUGUAAUCACAGGGCGUGUGUGUGUUCAGUAGUGUAAUCACAUUACAUAUGGAAUUAAUUUAACACAAAGCAUUGGAUGCUCUCAACACAACUCCUCUUACUCAACAGAAAUUCUUCUUCAUGACCGUACACACGACACAUUCACAGGUAACUGAACACUCUUACCUCACAAGUCG